rnacentral:lncRNA from 1 species
UGUAGAUAACAAGGAAUAUAUAUAUAGAAUUAUACGAUUGUACUAUCGAUAGCACCAAGUGCUUGGUAUUAUUAGAUUUUCGGUCUUUAGAUGAAAGAAGGUGCAGUAAGAUAAUAGUAGUCUCAUCGGAUUGAAUGGAUGCAUGGUUGAAUAUGUAGUAUGAUCUAACGAAUGAAAAUGGUCAAAGAGGUAGAUCUAACGACAAGAACUCGAUAGCACCAAGUGUUUGAUACUAUCGAUAGUAUAGUAGCGAUAGUAGUUGGACUCUAUAUAUAUAACACUGUUAUCCAUCAAACGAUCUGAUAUAAGGACGACUUACGACAUAGGACUAUUUAGAGGCAAAGGAGCUUAGGAGAUCCUUUGGUAUCAUUUGUGCGAUCACUAAUAAUCUAAAACGUAACAUUUUUAUAAUUUGAAAUAGUCUUAUAUAUAAAAUAUAUUAGAGUUAAAAUUUUUAGUCUGGCUAUAAUAUUUUGAGUGAUGACUAGAUCCAAGAGGUUAAAACAGUUGAACCAACUUAGAGUUAGAAUAUUUCUAGAAUAGAUGACCCUCUGAAAAGUGGGGCAUUACAGUCAGUAUUAAUUAAAGCCAAUCUCCCGCUAAAAUAUAAGAUGAGACUCGACUGAGCCAAAGUCAUAAAGUGGGAUAAAGUACAGAGUGGAGUGCAAUUUCCUAUAAGAUCGGCUAAACUAGUGAGAUGGGUGUCACAUUGACUGAUAUUUGUAAGUGUGCUUGAGGGUANAUAUAUAUAUAAAUAUAUAUAUAUAUAUAUUAUGGACAACUAUAAUUAUUAAAAUUAUUAUUGGCUUAUUUAUUAUUAAAUUGAAUUCUAUAUUGUAACAUAGUAUAAGGGUGACCUACGCUGGCCAUAAGUUCAGCCGUAUCCUUCCAUAUUUAAUGAGUUAAAUUUUUAUGAUAUGUUUUCUUAAGUUAAAUUAUCGUGUUCUACUUAAUUUAUCAUUCAAAUAAUAUUUGCAUGUUUUGUGUAUUUCUUAUACUUUUUAUGCAUACGAUCGAGUAAAGAUAUUAAAAAAAAAAAAAAAACACUUCAGGGUCAUUUUUAGUUAGAGAACAAGCAAUAUUUGAUUUGCAAGUAAAUAAAAAUAAAAUUCUCUUAUUAGAAUUUUGGUUCACAUUGAGNAAAACUUCAGGGUCAUUUUUAGUUAGAGAACAAGCAAUAUUUGAUUUGCAAGUAAAUAAAAAUAAAAUUCUCUUAUUAGAAUUUUGGUUCACAUUGAGUAAUCAUUGAGAUUUAACAAGUGGUAGUUGGAACUCAUCUUAUACCUAAUGUCACCCAAUUAAGAAGUGUUAAUUAAGUGAGACACCAUUAAUUAAUAAAAGAGGCCAAAAUUUAAAACUCUUGGAUUUAGAGUUUUAAAUUGUUUUCGAAUUUAAGAAUCCUUAUAAAAGGAAUUUAUCGCUUUAGGAACAUGGCUUAUUGGAUUCUAAUUCAGGACACUACAACAGAAUUAGAUUAUAGAGACACAUGUUUGGAACACUUUUGUGUAAGUGUCUCAUUUAUGCCAACAUUUUUUAAAAAAUCUAUUAAUGCCUAAAUAUAAAGCCCAAUCAACCAAAAAUAAAAGGUUACUCUACUCAACCCACCCUACCCAGCCCAUUUGGCCCGAUUACAAACAGAAAAGAAAAAAAAUAAAGAAAAAUCGAUUACCAUCUCUCUUUCUCUCCUUACUCAAUCCACUGAAAUCCUAGAUGAAGAGCCCUUCCCUCUCGUCCUCUUCCGCACCGCAGCCAACGAGGUAAAGUUCCAUGUUUGGAACACUUUUGUGUAAGUUUCUCAUUUAUGCCAAAAUUUUUUAAAAAAUCUACUAAUACCGAAAUAUAAAGCCCAAUCAAUCAAAAAUAAAAGAUUACUCUACUCCACCCACCCUACCCAGCCCAUUUGGCUCGAUUACAAACAGAAAAGAAAAAAAUAAAGAAAAAUUGAUUACCAUCUCUCUUUCUCUCCUUACUCAAUCCACUAAAAUCCUAGAUGAAGAGCCCUUCCCUCUCGUCCUCUUCCGCACCGCAGCCAACGAGAUAAAGUUCCGACGGCUGCUAAAUGCUUAAAUAAGUGUUGGUAAUUAGUAGCACUUUUUUUAGGCUACAGCGACACUUUUUAACUGUCACUAUAUACCUAGCGACCCCACAUAUAGCAACAUUUUUUAAAAGUAUUGGUAAUUUAGCCAGCAGCAUUUUUUUUGACAUGUACCAAUAUUUAAAAGUGUCGCUAUAUACCGUUUUUGUUGUAGUGAGAUUAUCGCGUACUUUAAUUGCCGCAUUAGCGCCUAUUUGACUUACUCUUUAUAUAAGCAACAUGUCUUAAUUUGGUAAAUUGAUGAUUUUACCGUUUGAGAAGGUAAAAGUAGAAGCUGAAAUGAUAUUCUAAAGAUAAAAAUAGAAGCUUUAUUUUGAAACUUACUAAGUAAACAAUAUUAAUAAAAAUUAAAAUUUUAUUUCUAAAAACUUUAUAUACUCUAAAAUAUAUUUAACUGUGUCGAUCAUAAAUUUAAAUACUCUAAAAUCGAAAUGAGAUUAUAGUACCGGAGUUCAGGUACUAUAGAUAGUACAAUAGACUCGAUCUCUAUAUAUGUAUAUAUAUUAGUAUAUAUGUGAAUAAGUCAACUCAAAAUAAUAUUUUAUUAAACUUAUUCAUGCAUCGACAAUAAAUUAAACAUGAAAUGGGUUUCAUUUAUAACUUUCACAAAAAAAAAGUGUAUUAUUCCUCUAAAUUUAUUGUAAAAUUAAAAUACAUAAGAUAAAUUAUAAUAAAAAGCAGUUAUUAUCCAUAAAUUCUUGGGUUUACUCCAAAAUAAAAUGAAAAAAAAAAUGCUAUUUGUACAUCCAACUACUCACAUCAUGCGAAAAUAUGUGUAUACAGUAUUGGAGAUGAUGCUACCUCACAACAACUCCAAUCAUUGACCUUUCACACUAAUUAAAGCACAAACCCUAACACACCCUCUCACCCAAUUCUCUGUAAGAUCCACUUUUUCACACAGCUCUCUCUUGUUUCCUAUGGCUUCUCUAUAUUCCCUGAUAUGCUACCACCACCUCUUGCUCUUUCUCAUCGCCGCCGCCGUUGCGGCGGCGUUUACUACGCAUGCCGUCGCCGACGAUAUGACCCAUCUGCACUUCUACAUGCACGACAUCCGCAGCGGGCCCAACGCAACUGCGGUCGAGGUCGUCACAGGCCCCGUCCCCGUACCUUCCGUCCCCGGCGUCAACUUCGGUGACUUCGUCGCGAUCGACGAUCCCCUCACGGAGGGCCCAGCACUCUCGUCGAGGCUCGUCGGCCGGGCCCAGGGGUUCUACUUGUCCGCAGCACUGCAAGAGGUGUCGUUUCUCGUGUCGGCCAACUUCGUGCUGGCCGCCGACGGGCCGUAUAACGGCAGCGCGGUCUCCGUUCUGGGGAGCGACCCGAUCGCGGCGCCUGUCAGGGAGUUGUCGGUCGUCGGCGGGAGCAGGCGGUUUCGAAUGGCCUACGGAUAUGUGCUCUGGAAGACGUACUUCUUCAACGCCACCACCCUCGACGCGAUCCUGGAGCUCGACGUCUACGUCACGACGAAGUGAUGAAUUCGUCACAUCGAUCUCAUCUCGCUCGUUGAGCCCUAUUAUUGCAAUCUGAUAGUAAAGAUAGAAUCGAUGGCGGAUCGAUCACUCAGAUGAUACAAGAUUGGUUUGACUGUCCAUGUCAAAUGCCAAUUAUUUGUUCAAUCAUUAUGUCAAAAAAAUAAAAAGGCAUGGUUAUAGAUAAGCUUGUCUGUUUGUUUUUUCUUGAGUGUCUUUGUUAGAAAGCAAUAGUUAAAAACUUUUUUAAAAAAAUAAAAAUAAAAUUUGGUACUUUUUUAAAAAUAAAAGUAGAGAGAAAUGCUUUUUCCCUUUUUUUAAUUUUAAAAAGAAUAAAGGAAAUGCUUUGGUACCCACCAAGAGUUCUCUACAUGUGAGUAUCAAUUAUUGUGUUGGUUUAUGGUAUUUUCUUUUAUGUUCAUGACUUAAUAAUUAAUAAUGUUUUUUUAUAUUAUGAAAUAUUUUUUUAACAUAAAGAUAAAAUUAUUAAAAUUAGGCUAAUUUGCAUUAAAAGUUAUUAGUUUUGCACUUUAUAAAAUUAAACUAUUGUGAAAUGAAUGACACAUUAUAAAAAUAAUUUUAGCUUAUAAAGGAUAUUUGUUGUUUAGAUAAUUAAUGCUAAUUUAAAAGUGCAUAUUAUCGCUUCUCCACAUAUUAAGUAUACUUCAAAACUUUUAAUUUUUCAAAUUAAAAAUAAUAUGUAUGAUUUUUCGACUUCACCAAUAUCUUUUAUAACUUAUCAAUUCGAGUUAGCCGACGAUGAUUUGAACAUUUUAAAUAAAAUAAUAUGAAAGAUUUUUAAAAUAUUAUAUGACACGCCGUGAAAUGAAUGACUAAUUAUUAAAAUAGUUUCUGAUUAUAUCGAAUAUUGUUUAAAUAGUAAUUUUAAUUUCGAAUGUAAAAAUGCAUUAAAAUACUUUUCAAAUAAAUUUAAAAGAAGUUGGAUAUGUGUUUAAAUAAGUAAUUAGUAUUCUUUUUAAAUGUAAAUGUAAAACAUUUUUUUAAAAUAAAUUUAAAAAAUGAUAAUAAGUUGGAGAUGCGGGGUAUCGAACCCCGUACCUCUCGCAUGCAAAGCGAGCGCUCUACCGUUUGAGCUACAUCCCCAUUUUGUAAAUUUAACAAAAUUUUUGUUUAAUGAAAUUAAAAUACAAUUUACUGCACACAACUCCCUCUAAACCUAUUGAAUUACAGAAAUAUCCCUACAAAGUUCGAUUUUUCCUAAUUAUCCUUACAAAAGUUUUAGCGUUUUCAAAUAUACACCUGUUGUUAGGAUCCGUCAGAAAAAUAUAAUUAACCAUAGGUAAAAUAUUUAACCCUGGUUAGUGAAUGAGGUAAAUGGACCUUUUUACGCCACUUAUAUUAUUUGUGAUGAUAGAAAGAAAGAAGAUGACCAUUAAAAAUUUUUGAUAAGAUAUUUUUGCAUAAUUUUAACAGUUAAAGUUUUUGGAGAUAUAUUUGUGAUGGCGAAAAUGUCAUUUUAUUUAUCUUCUGUUAAAAAAUAAACAAUGUUCUAAUGGUAAUAAACAAAAGGGGCGAGUAUGAAUAUUGUUGAAUUUUUCUAGGAAAAAAUAUGAAAAAUGAAACUUUGCAGGGAUAUACUUACUAUUCGAUAUGUUUACAGGGAACUGUGUAAGUGGCAAUCUGAACCCGUACCUACGGGUUACAGGUGUGGCAAUCUCAACCCGUACCUACGGGUACCUAUGGGGUUACUCUUAAAUUUGUGGGUAUGGGUACUAAUUUUUCUUACCCAAAAAAUUUUGGAUAAAAUGAGUAGAUUCUAAUUAAAUUAUGAGCAUUUUUUUUUGGCAACCCGAUAGUGAAUACUCUUUUUAUUUUAUCCGUUCUUAGAAUUCUAAUAUAAUUUCUCCUACCGUUAUUUUUUUUUAUUUAUUAUCUGUUGUGUAUUGCGAUAUUUUAAACAAUAAGUUAAAUUUUAAUCUUUUAAAAAUAAUGUAUAUGUUAAGUGUUUGAAAAGUUUAAAUUUAGAAAAAGAAAAAAAAAGGGAAAACUUCAAAAACCCUCCUGUGGUUUCGUGCAUUCUCACUUUGCUACCCUGUGGUUUAAAACGUAUCAAUUUACCCCCCUGUGGUUUCAUUUUUAUCUUUUCGGAAGCUUUUUCGUUAAUAUUUCGUUAAAUUAUAUACAAAAAACUUCAGAUAACCAUCUAUAUUUAUCGAAUAGUCACUUUAGUAUCCUUUAAUUUUAACUUUGUCACUGAUUUUAAAAAAAAAUAAUAAUAAAAUUGAUAACAAAAAGAUAAAAACGAAACCACAGGGGGGCAAAUUGAUACGUUUUAAACCACAGGGUAGCAAAGUGAGAAUGCACGAAACCACAGGGAGGGUUUUUGAAGUUUUCCCAAAAAAAAAAAGAUUAAGUUGCUGGUAACCCGUAUAUCCGCCAAAAGCCGACCCUAGGAAUGUCAAUGGGUACGGAUACCCAAAAUUUUAUCCGAACCAGAACCCGAACGGAGCGAAUUUACCUAAUGCAAAAUGGAUAUAGUUUCGGAUAUGGAUAUCAAAAACAAAAACCAAACGGAUAUGGAUAUAGAUAUAGAUUUUGAUUGUACCCGACCCGAACCCGAACCUGACUCGAACUUGAUCCAAACCCAAAUUUAUUUUACAUUAUAUAUAAUAUGUAUAUAAAAAUUCGAUAUUAUAUUUGAAUUUGUAUUUUAAAAAUUUAAAUUUAAUAUAAUAUAUUUGAAAUAUUGAAAAGAGAAAUAAUUGUUUUGGGUUCGGAUUUUCGGGUUCGGGUUCGGGUUCGGGUUCGGGUUUCGGGUUUUUGGCCGGGUUCGGAUUUGGAUAUGGAUUUUUAAAAUCCGUCGAGUUCGGGUUCGGGUUUUGGGUUUAGAGUCGGGUUUUUGAAAAUCCGCCCCGAAUCUGACCCGUUGACAUCCCUAGCUGACCCGGGAGCAGGAAUAGAUAAUAAUGAUGGCUACCAAAAAAUUUAUGAGUAAAUUCUACCAACAUUCACAUAAUCCGAGGGUACAAUGACCUUUCUGCGGAUUGUUUAAUUUGUCCGUUUGCCAGGUCUACUUACAAAUGAUCGGAAAUAGUUAAUAUCUCUACUCACGUGCAUACCGUAGGGGCGGUGAAAUUGGAUCCGAGCCUAAACGAGGUCCGACCCAAUGGGCUAUGUAUGAGCCGGACUUUAUGUAUUUGAAAAUUUUAAUUUUGGGUUCGGGCUAGACUUUAAAAAUUUAGAUCCAAAAAUGUUUUGGAGUUAUUUGAACAUGUGAAACAACCGUUGUACUCUAAAAACUUAAGCUAUUAGAGAACAGUGUUUAAACAUUUUCAUAUUUAACACUUCCCCUCACGUCUGGGCUCGAGACUUUUUAAUCGGCCCAUGACGUGGGCUUGAAUUAAAUGGGAGGAAAUUAAUAUGCUAGGAGCCUGACGUGACUCGAACUCAGGACCUCCUGCUCUGAUACCAUAUGAAACAACCGUUGUACUCUAAAAGCUUAAGCUAUUAGAGAACAGUGUUUAAACAUUUUUAUAUUUAACAGAACAUGUUCAAGCCCAACCGAGACUCAGCCCAAGAGCCUGAUAUAUUAGUUAUUAUUUCGGACUAACAAGAUAUUUAGUUAUAGACAUUUACCUAUAUAAUGAAUUAAGGAGACAAUACAAUAUAUCAUACAGAGUUGUGCUGGAAUACUAUUAAUAGUAUUUGAGCCUUUUACGACUAAGUUUAUAAUCCUUAGAUGAAAAAUUAUAUAAUUAAGAUAAUUAAGAUGAUAGUGGUCUCCUGAGAUUUAAUGGUGGCUUUCCUAGGGUUUAGUUGGCGGUUGGUAAAAUAGCAUGAUCUAAGUAAUGAAUUGAUUAUGGGUAGAUCUAAUGGUGGAAAGCUGGAUAGCAUCAAGCGCUUGACAUUAUUAAUAGUAUUCCAGCCGGACUCAUAUUAUAUAUAGUAUUAUUUUAAAGCUUUUGAUUAAUUAGACUUUUCUUGUUCCUUGGAGUAAACUAAUUUUUUUUAUGGGAUCAAAUUCUAGAUAGUUUUAUUUCACUUUGAUAUAAUAUAUGGCCUAAACAAAGCCAAAUGGAUAUUGGGCUAGGUUUGGUUCCGGUUUUAAUUCUCUGAAAAACCUGAGGAGGAAUUAGGUAUCUCAAUUUUUCUUCUAUUUAAGUUUUUCUCUAAUUUCUCUUCUUUCUCUCAUCUUAACCACCCCUGCAUCAAAAUUGAUGAAUAAUUAGGAAGCCAAGAACAUAAGGACUGCAAUGCUGCUAAUAGCACAGUAGCCUUACUAUACAUAUAUUAUAUAGAGUUGAGCUGGAAUACUAUCGGUAGCAAAUCGGCUCCGUUGCCACCCAUUUGUUUUCGAUGAUGGAGCCUUCGAAUCGACGAUCGGCACCGUUGAAUAUGAUCUAUACUACUUAAAUUAUCUAGAAAUUAAAUUUCAUGCUUUUCCAAUAUUAUUCUCUUAUCCAUCAAGUGGCGUAAAAAUGAACGACUGAAAAUGAAUAUCUUCUAAAAAGUGAUGAUAGAAAUUUUAUAAUCAAGAUCGAGAGUAUAGAUCUUGUUCUAGAUAGUUUAAAGAAUUUUCUGAUCAAAAUUCAAUUGAUUUGGAUAGCUUUAUACCGUUAAACGUGAAAACACCUCAUAUCUACCAUUAAAAUUACAAAUUUUGAAACCCUUUGAUCAUUAGGUUAAUGAUAUAGAAAAGAUUUGAAAUUUGGUUUCUAAAUACUUCAAGUGGUACAGAUCAUGUUCAACGGUACCGAUCGUCAAUUCGAAUGCUCGCUCCAUCAUCGAAAAGAAAUGGGUGGCAACAGAGCCAGUUUGCUAUCGAUAGUAUUCCAGCUCAACUCAUAUUAUAUAUAUAUAUGAAGUAUUUUAAUGAAAUAUUAGAGGUAAGGUAUAUUUGUAUUUAACACAUAUGUCAAUGACAUUUAUUCAAACACAAACAAAUAAAGCACAACAAAUUCAUACAAAGUAAUGUGUCAUCUUAAUCAUUUGUUAGCGGUGACAUACACGUCCAAUUCUAAGAUAGAAUCUCCAGUGGUGGCGUUGAAGGAGUAGGUCUUGAUGAGCACGUAGCCGUGCGCGAACCGAAACUUGCGGCUGCCGCCGACCACCGACAGCUCCUUCUCCGGCUGAUCGUCAGCGUAGCUGCCGUACACGGCGAUGGUGCUCCCGUUGUGCGGCCCGUUUGCCGCGAAACCAAGGUUCGCCGACACGAGCACUCCAGAACCCUGCGUGUACGAAUGUACAUAUGUUCACAUACGAUGAUACGGAGGAUAACUUAUUCGGCAUAAAAAGUUUUUAGUGUGAAAAGUUUGACUUGAUCUGUUCCUUAAAAAGUCUAAAUAUUCAUAAUUUCGUAGGAUAACAUAUUUUACCUGCGAAAUAAUUUUUCUUAUUUCAAAAAAAUUAUUUGAAGAUAAAAUAUCAUAUCAAAUUCUAAACUCUUCACACUAAAAAUUAUUUGAUCACUGAUCAGCCCCGUUUGGAUGCAUGAAUAUAUUAUUUGUAAAUUUCUUGAUUUAUAUACUGAAGAAAUUUGCAUAUUUUAUUAAUACAAAGUGUGACUAAUCGUUUAGAAUGAAAUAUUAUAUUUAGACUUUAAUUAAGUUAAGUUUUCAUAAUAAGAUAAAUCACAUCGUCAGUGAAGUAUACUAUUCUAUCAAAUCAUGAAUAAAAUAAUUUAAAAAAAUAAAAAAAAUCAAACUAUUUACUUACAAUCAUACUAGAUAAUCCACAUACAGAAUAAGUUGCCAUUGGAUAACUUAUUAUGAUACCGAAAUAGAGCCUUAAUACUCAAAUUUACAAGUUUUUAAAUAAAUUAAAAAGAUAUAUAGAGUAAGAUAUUCUUAUAUCCAAAUAAAGCAUAUAUAAGAGUGCAUUUGGUAAUGGGUUAUAAAUACUUUUAUUGUUGGAAUAAUCACGUUUGAUUAUUUUCUUAAGAAUAAUAAAGAAUAGUAGAGAAAAAAAAAGGGUUAAUUUCAUAUAUAUAUNNNNNNNNNAUAUAGGUCCCUACAAAUAUAGUGAAUAGCAAAUAUAUUGCUACAAAGUUCAACUUUUAUAUAUUAUUCUUACAAAAGUUUCAAUAUUUUCAAAUAUGUUCCUCUGGUUUGUUAUACCGUUAGAGAACCGUUAGAGAAUUGUUUAUAUUUUUAAUUUUACAAUCACAAAUAUAUCCCUCCAAAAGCCAUAAUAGUAUAAUAUAAAAGGAUAAAAAGGUCAAAAAACUAAACAUGGUUAAGUAUUUAACCUAUGAUUAACUAAAUUUUUCUAAUAAAUUCUAACGGCAGGAAUAUAUUUGAAAAUAUUAGAACUUUUGCAAUGACAGCAUAUGAAAGAUGAACUUUAUAGGAAUAUGUUUAUCAUUCACUAUAUUAAUUUGCAGUGACUUGUAUGAAAUUAACUAAAAAAAAAAGUAUAACUAGAUCGACAAGGCGAAGGGGUGGGGGGAAAUGUUAUUAACACUUUGACCAGAAUAAAUUGUUCCUUUCAAAUUUAGGCUUACUUAACGCUAUUAGAUAAAAGGGAGUUAGGGUUAAAUCAUAUAGGGAUAUACUUCUGCAUUUUCCGGUGGAACCGUACAAAAUAUAUUACAACCGAUUCAUCGCGAUAUGCGGAAUACAAUAUUACGUACGGAAACAAACGAAGCAUUUUCUUGUCGUGCAAUCGAUCCGCAAGUAACGCAAUCUCUCCGUAAUUCCAAACGAAGCUAUAGCUGUAUAUGAAAUAAAAUGCUUUAUCUCU